GACGAACGCUGGCGGCGUGCUUAACACAUGCAAGUCGAACGGUGAACUCCGCUUGCGGGGGGAUCAGUGGCGAACGGGUGAGUAACACGUGGGCAACCUGCCCUCAGCUCUGGGAUAACUCCAAGAAAUUGGGGCUAAUACCGGAUAUGACCGCUGACCGCAUGGUCUGGUGGUGGAAAGAUUUAUCGGCUGGGGAUGGGCCCGCGGCCUAUCAGCUUGUUGGUGGGGUAGUGGCCUACCAAGGCGACGACGGGUAGCCGGCCUGGGAGGGUGACCGGCCACACUGGGACUGAGACACGGCCCAGACUCCUACGGGAGGCAGCAGUGGGGAAUAUUGCGCAAUGGGCGAAAGCCUGACGCAGCGACGCCGCGUGGGGGAUGACGGCCUUCGGGUUGUAACCUCUUUCAGCAGGGACGAAGCGAAAGUGACGGUACCUGCAGAAGAAGCACCGGCCAACUACGUG
rnacentral:rRNA from 1 species